GCUGGCGUCCCGGGAGCCGAGAUAUCCUGUUCUGUCUGGGAAUGAGAUUUUCUCAAGGGAGAGGGAGACACCGGAGCGCUGCGGGGGUCUGGAGCUGCAUGACGAGAGUUCAUAGUUGAGAAAUGAACAUUUAAAUUUCAUGUAUCUGCAAAAGAUUUUUCACUCUGUGCCACCAGAUGGGACAAAUCACCCUGAUUGAUUUCCAGCACUGUGGCUCAGGUGGCAGAGCAGGACCGCCAUUAAUCACGGAGUUAGUGGUUUGAUUCCUGUUCCUCCUCAUAUCAAAGUGUCCUUGAGCAACACAUUAAACCCACAAAACCUCCAUUGAUCCGUGAGGAACUAAAUGAGCUAUACUAUGACGCUUCUUUCAGUUGCCAAAGUAGAAAUGUACCGAUAAAUAAGUGUUAUAUUUAAGCAUGUAUGUAUUUCGCUAAUGCAUAAAAUAUACAAAGAAUGAAAUGUACAUGCUUUGUGAAUUUAUUCUAGGCCAGCUCAAACUUUUAUUUCUAAUAUAAACGUAAUGCGUCGAGUGUAUUUGAAAUGAAGGAGUGUCUUUUCACAAUUUAAAUUACACUUAUUUGUUUUUAAAGAUAAAUAUUUAAACGUUACCUAAAUUCCUCCUGUUUAACAUUUAAAUCUCUUCAGCUUCAUUUUUUUUUAACCAAUAUGACACAUUACAGUGAAAUAUCUUCAAUAAUUGACAAAUAUUGUAAAUU